CAUUAGAUAGCUAAAAGUUAGCACUGGUCUCUUAAACCAAUUUAUAAUAAUUAACGUCUAUUUCUAAUGA
rnacentral:tRNA from 1 species